GAUGAACGCUGGCGGCGUGCCUAAUACAUGCAAGUCGAGCGAACAGACGAGGAGCUUGUUCCUCUGACGUUAGCGGCGGACGGGUGAGUAACACGUGGAUAACCUACCUUUAAGACUGGGAUAACUUCGGGAAACCGGAGCUAAUACCGGAUAAUAUAUUGAACCGCAUGGUUCAAUAGUGAAAGACGGUUUUGCUGUCACUUAUAGAUGGAUCCGCGCCGCAUUAGCUAGUUGGUAAGGUAACGGCUUACCAAGGCGACGAUGCGUAGCCGACCUGAGAGGGUGAUCGGCCACACUGGAACUGAGACACGGUCCAGACUCCUACGGGAGGCAGCAGUAGGGAAUCUUCCGCAAUGGGCGAAAGCCUGACGGAGCAACGCCGCGUGAGUGAUGAAGGUCUUCGGAUCGUAAAACUCUGUAAUUAGGGAAGAACAAAUGUGUAAGUAACUAUGCACGUCUUGACGGUACCUAAUCAGAAAGCCACGGCUAACUACGUG
rnacentral:rRNA from 1 species